UCGAGUGCGGACUUCAAUUAUCAGCGACCGUGGCCAGGAUUCUCUCGAGGACCACCACGACAAUUCUGCACAUGGUUCGGAAUGUUUGAUAAGAAGCAAAUGAAUCUACAAGGUCAGCAUGGAACCGCAACACGGCGUUGAUCGUCAAACGCCGAAGGCGAUCUUCAACACAGCCAACUUCGAUCAUCAGCGACGGUGGCCAAGAUUCCUUCAAGGACCAGCGCGCGAACGGAACAGUCACUCCCUGGUCUCGAGCGUGGACUUCGAUCAUCAGCAAACGUGGCCAAGAUUCCCUCAAUGACCAGCGCGCGAACGGAACAGUCACUCCCUGGUCUCGAGUGCGGACUUCAAUUAUCAGCGACCGUGGCCAGGAUUCUCUCGAGGACCACCACGACAAUUCUGCACAUGGUUCGGAAUGUUUGAUAAGAAGCAAAUGAAUCUACAAGGUCAGCAUGGAACCGCAACACGGUGUUGAUCGUCAAACGCCGAAGGCGAUCUUCAACACAGCCAACUUCGAUCAUCAGCGACGGUGGCCAAGAUUCCCUCAAGGACCAGCGCGCGAACGGAACCGUCACUUUCUGGUCUCGAGCGCGGACUUCGAUCAUCAGCGACGGUGGCCAAGAUUCCCUCAAGGACCAGCGCGCGAACGGAACCGUCACUUUCUGGUCUCGAGCGCGGACUUCGAUCAUCAGCGACCGUGGCCAAGAUUCCCUCAAUGACCAGCGCGCGAACGGAACAGUCACUCCCUGGUCUCGAGUGCGGACUUCAAUUAUCAGCGACCGUGGCCAGGAUUCUCUCGAGGACCAGCGCGCGAACGGAACCGUCACUUUCUGGUCUCGAGCGCGGACUUCGAUCAUCAGCGACGGUGGCCAA